ensembl:lncRNA
CCCCACCCUGGCUCAGACGGCCGCUCCCCUGUCACCUCCUGUCACAAGCCGCAGCCCCUGCCGUGCUCCAGCGGGGCCAGAACAACAGUGUGUUCCCAAGACGGGUUCUCAACGGGAUCUGCAGCCCCCCCAGAGCGGAGGCACCCCUUGUCCAAGCAGAUGAGGAAACUUUGGCCUGGAGAGGGAGCCUGACUCGCUGGGUCCCGCAGCUGGUUAAUUGCCAGCCAGGGCCACUUGCCAUUUCUUCUGCAAAGGGUGGCAGCCGUUGCUGGCUCUGAAAUCGCAGACUCUGGCAGCAGGAAGGGACCUGAGGGACCGGCCCAGUGGUUUUCAAAGUGGAGCUCUGACAGACCUCGCGGGGCUCCCUGAGAUGAACAGGUGUGCAGCUGGAGC